rnacentral:rRNA from 1 species
CCUACGGGAGGCAGCAGUGAGGAAUAUUGGUCAAUGGGCGCAAGCCUGAACCAGCCAUGCCGCGUGCAGGAAGAAUGCCCUACGGGUUGUAAACUGCUUUUAUUUGGGAAUAAACCUUUCUACGUGUAGAAAGCUGAAGGUACCAAUUGAAUAAGCACCGGCUAACUCCGUGCCAGCAGCCGCGGUAAUACGGAGGGUGCAAGCGUUAUCCGGAAUCAUUGGGUUUAAAGGGUCCGCAGGCGGACCUAUAAGUCAGUGGUGAAAGCCUACAGCUUAACUGUAGAACUGCCAUUGAAACUGUAGGUCUUGAAUUCGGUCGAAGUGGGCGGAAUGUGUAGUGUAGCGGUGAAAUGCAUAGAUAUUACACAGAACACCGAUAGCGAAGGCAGCUCACUAGGCCUGGAUUGACGCUCAGGGACGAAAGCGUGGGGAUCAAACAGGAUUAGAUACCCUGGUAGUCCACGCCGUAAACUAUGAUUACUCGUUUUCGGCGAUAUACAGUCGGAGACUAAGCGAAAGUGAUAAGUAAUCCACCUGGGGAGUACGAUCGCAAGGUUGAAACUUAAAGGAAUUGACGG